GGCUCGCUGUGGGGCCGAGGCAGGCCAGCAGUCAGGCGGGCGGGCGAUGGCGGGGGCCGCAGUGGGCGGCAGAGGCGGAGGUGCCUAGGGGCCAGGGCACGGAGGGGCAGGGGGCCUCCGGCGGGGCUGCUCUCCCCCAGCCCCCGCUGGCUCCCCCCGGGCUGGGCUGCAGCCGCUCAGGGCCACCGUCCCUUUCCAGCUGCAGCAGCCGCAGCAGCACCGGGACGGGGGUGGCCGCGCAGCCAGCGUCCCGUGUUCCGUGGCCCCAGAAAAGCCAGUGUGUAGGCCUCAGCCACCCCAGGUCCGGCGUACAUUCUCCCUGGACACCAUCCUCAGCUCCUCCCUUCUGGGCCAGUGGCCACGAGAUGCUGAUGGGGCCUUCACCUGCUGUACCAAUAACAAGGCCACCCAGACCCCCCUGCCCUGGCCACAGCUUGAAGGUGAGCGGGCCAGCUCGUGUACACACAAGCACUCAGCGUCCUGGGGCAGCACAGACCACCGAAACGAGAUUACCAAGUUGAAGCAACAGCUGCAGAGGACAAAGCUUAGCCGCAGUGGGAAAGAGAAGGAGCGGGCAUCCCCCCUCCAAGGGGACCAUGCUGUGCGGGGAGCACUGAGGGCGUCCCCUCCCAGCUUCCCCUCAGGGUCCUCUGUCCUGCGACUGAGCCCCUGCCUGCACCGGAGCCUGGAAGGGCUCAACCAAGAGCUGCAGGAGGUGUUUGUGAAAGAGCAGGGUGAGGAGGAGCUGCUGCGGAUCCUUGAAAUCCCUGACGGACACCGAGCCCCAGCUCCCCUCCAGAGCGGCAGCUGUGAUCAUCCCCUCCUCCUCCUGGAGCCUGGAAACCUUGCCAGCUCUCCCUCCAUGCCCCUGGCAGCCCCCCAGCCUUCUGGCCAGACUGGCCGUGAGGAACACCAGGGUGCAGCCGAGGAGCUGACGUCCAUCCCCAGUGACAAAGCUUCCCCUCCAGGCCACCCAGCCUUCCUUGAAGAGGGCAGCCCAUCUCCAGUCCUUGCCUUUGCCGCCUCCCCUCGGUCCAAUCACAGCUACAUCUUCAAAUGGGAACCCCCGUAAGGCUGUGAGAAACUGCGGGUGUUUGAAGAGGCCACGUCCCCAGGUCCUGACCUGGCCUUCCUGACUUCCUGUCCUGACAAGAACAAAGUCCAUUUCAACCCAACCGGCUCGGCUUUCUGCCCCGUCAGCUUGAUGAAGCCCCUCUUCCCCAGCAUGGGCUUCAUCUUCCGUAACUGCCCCUCAAGCCCGGGGUCCCCCCUUCCCCCGGCCAGCCCCAGGCCACCGCCUCGGAAGGAUCCAGAGGCCCCCAAGGCCUCCUCGCUGCCAUUCGAGCCUUGGCAGUGCCCCCCACCGUCAGAAGAGCCUGCGCUUUUCCAGAGCUCCCUGGUGGUCUGAGGGCCCCACCCCCACUUCACCAUGGAGACCAGUGCCUUGGUGGCAGGCCCCUCCCGAGCUCCCCUGAGAUGGGGGAUGAAGGAGCCCUUCCCUCCUGGCCUUUGAGCACUU